rnacentral:rRNA from 1 species
CAAAAACAUCGUCUUCUGAAAACUCUUGAUAGAAGAUAAUGCCUGCCCAGUGAAAUUUUAAACGGCCGCGUUAGCGUGAGCGUGCUAAGGUAGCGUAAUAAUUAGCCUUUUAAUUGAAGGCCAGUGAAUGGCAAGACUAGGAAUAUCUUUACUCUGUGUGUAAAAAAAACUUCUUAUCCGAGUGAAAAAACUUAGAUAAUAAAAGUAGACGAAAAGACCCCGCGGAGCUUUACCUUUUCUUAUACUAUUGUAUAUCCUCUAUAAGUAAUUAAGGUUUGAUUGGGGCAAUCUUGGAACCAAUAAAGCUUCCAAUUCUCAAUAAAAUCUAUUUAAAAUUUAUUAAGGACCAAAAAGAAGU